UACGUAGGGUGCAAGCGUUAUUCGGAAUUACUGGGCGUAAAGCGUGCGCAGGCGGUUAUGUAAGACAGAUGUGAAAUCCCCGGGCUCAACCUGGGAACUGCAUUUGUGACUGCAUAGCUAGAGUACGGUAGAGGGGGAUGGAAUUCCGCGUGUAGCAGUGAAAUGCGUAGAGAUGCGGAGGAACACCGAUGGCGAAGGCAGCCCCCUGGGCUAACACUGACGCUCAGGCACGAAAGCGUGGGGAGCAAACAGG
rnacentral:rRNA from 1 species